CCCUCCAGCCCUCAUCCAACCUCCCCCAUCCUUUCCUUAUCCCAUUUUUAUUCUUCCUCCUCACCCUAAUUUGUGUCCAGUUUGACACCUCUAUCCCUCAUGUCAUGUAUCCUUUUCCCCACCAUUUCUCCACCUGUUGCUCCUGCUGUCUGGCCUGUUUCCCCCUCUUCCAGCACCCCUUCCCACGGCCAGCCCCUCUCUCUCCUGGGGACCUCCCCCACCUCUUCCCAGCUGCCACAUCCCUCCAGCUGGGGUCUUGCCCCAUCUGUCUGUUGCCCAGCACCCACUCCUUCAUCCCCCUACCAUUUAUCUCCUGGCAGGGGACUGCAGCAGAGAGGGUGGGUGGCAGGAGGAAACCUCCCUCCCCAGUCUAGACUGCUCUCAACGAGGAGCCUCCUUGUCCCCCCUCAGCCCCUGCCUGGCCCCACUGCUCCCACCUGCACUGUGUCCUUUUCUCGCCCUGUCUCUGUGCUGCCUCUCCCCGCCUGUACUGGUCAAUCCCUGGUUCUCAGCUCAGGGAUCAGUGCCCCCUUUUCAUUCUCUCACCUCAGCAGCUUCCUAGAGAAAUGGCAGAUGAGGCUUCAGCACUGGCUGGACAAGGGCGUGGUCUGAACACCAAGACACAGAAGCCUUGGGAAAGAGGGUGGGGUUCACAGGAGACAGAGAAGGGAAGCCCGAGAGUUAGGAGGAAGGUUUGUGGAUAGAGAAAGAGCGAGAGCCAGGGGCAGACAUGAGGGUGGGGGACACAUGGUGUGCUGAUGUUCUGGAAAGAGGAAGGGGACUAAUUCUGUGCUGCAGCGGAGAAGCAGGGGUAGGGAGGGAGUUGUGGGCUGGAGGAAGAGGUCACUUCAGUCUUGGGUAGAGAUAGGAAGACUGGCCAGAGGGUAGAGUGGCAGAUACCCUCAUUAGGCUGCCGGGCUGUUUCUCUAGUUUCAUUUCCCCAUGUGCUUUGCUACUGAUGCUGGGCUGAAGAAGAGACUUUUGCCGGAUAAGAAAUAUCCAGGCUGAGGGAGGUUUCAUGCUGAUAAAGUUCUUUCCACCCAACUACAGUCCUCACCAUGGAGGAGACGCUUGGCCGAGUGACAGCGUGGGUGAUGGGGAGCGCGGGAGCCCGUGUCUGACCCUGUGCAUGGUUGGGGCAGAGGCGUCCGCAGGUGCCCAGGGUCUCCGGUGUGGUGUUUCUGGGCAGGGCGCACUGGCCCAGCAUGUGGCUCUGCGGAAUGCCCCGCGAGCUCCUGGUGGCUGAGGGUGAAGGCUCACGUGGGUGCUUGCAUGGGUGUCCCCAUGUGUCUGUGUGUGCAUGUGGCUGUUUUCCCCCCCACUCCCCCCCGCCCCGGCUUUGAUAGGAAAGAUGAAGUCAGCAUCUUGGAUAGAGCUGGGUUCAGCUUCCUUCCUCUGCCUUGGCCCGAAGCCCCAAGAGCAUGAAAUAGGUAACAGUUUCCCUCAGCUCUCCACGCAGGCCUUGGAAGAAAGCACGUGAAAGGGCAGAGGAUCUAAAAUAGCAUUACCUGGAGAGAGCAGACUUCAGAGACCAAAUUUUCUCUGAUCCUGCCAGAUUCUAGUAAUUCUAAUGGUCAUAUCCCACCUCCCCUCCCUUUUUUUGGGUCCUAUACCCCAUAUGUUGGUUUUAUUUUAUUCAUUUAUGUUUCAGCUGCACAACUAGGCAUGUGGGAUCCUAAUUCCCCCACCAGGGAUCAAACUUGCACCCCCUGUAGUGGAAGCGUGGUGCCUUAACCACGGGACCAAAGUAUGGAAGCGUGGUGGAAGCAUGGUCACCAUAGGUAUACUUGGCCUAGAGAGUGGCCAGAAGAGCCUGGAGAGAAAGAAGGACUGAAAUGAUGGCCUUGGGGUGUUUUGGAAGUCGACUUCUCAGGGGAGACAGGAUGCUGGAGUCAGAAAAGGGUGCGAGAUUCCAGACAUUCACAAGCUCACAAGGCAGUCAAAGAAGCCGAAGCCACUGGAGGCCUGACAGAUACAAUUUCAGCUUCUGAGAUAAUCAUUAUCUAAAAUGUGAUCCACACCCUGGAUUUCAGGCUCCUGGAGGAGCUUGUGUCUUAUAUACAUAUGUUUGCCUUUUAUCAGAAAAGCACUGGGCCUUGCAUAAAGCAGGUGCUUCAUAAAUGCCUGUCAACACUGAGUUGCCAAAGGUCUGUGAGAGACAGAAGUGGCAAGAGUGUCUGGCAGGGAGCCUCAGAGUGAAGGCAGGGAGUCCAGUGGUCAGAGUGGGGUCGCCUUCACCAAGGUGUCCCAGGUGGUGGACAUAAAGGCUGGGGUCUUCUUGAGAACUGUUUGUGUGCUCUGUCCGUUCUCCAAAUCCUCACUCUGGGUGUCUUCAGCUCUGGGCCUCCAUCCUUGAAUGAACCUCCAAGUUCCUGCCCUACCCUCAGGAGGAUUAGAGAUAAAAGGUAUAUAGCAAGGAAGGAAAGGAGAAGCCGAGAAGACAAGAGUAAGGGCAAUUGAGGGCAAGGGCCUGAAGGAUAGAGAGGGAGAGAAGAGGCCAGGGGCUGUGAUCCAAAGAAGCAGUCCCAGAGAGGGGAAGAUAGAAAACAGUUGUGCCGGGCUUCCGUUUACAAAGCCCUUUCCUACACCGCAGCACUUUGUUAAUCCCAUUUUAUGCUGAGGAAACGGGGGCUCGUAGACAUUAACGGACUUGGCCGGGUGACUUUGCUAGUGGUGGUGAAGGUGGGCCUCAGGCCAGGUUUUCAGAUUCCAAAGCCUGUAUGCCUCCCCCUUCCCCAAGAAGAGCCCUAGAAAGAUCGAAGACUUAGGGCAGAAACAAAUGAAGGACUUCAGGCAGGACUUGUUGGGGAAGGGUGGGUGCUCUAGAUUUCUGAAACUUCUUUCUGCAUCCACUUAUGAUGUAGAUUCAGUGGGAAGAAACUGCCAAGUGUAAGUCAGGGGGUCAACACUUCAUUACUGAGACUGUGGGGGGGGGGGGGNCGAGGUGGGAGGUGAUGAGGAACGUGCAGAAAGAAAACUGAUCCUGAGAUGAAAGAUGGGAGAAAAGUAAGAGGCUGGGCUGAAAAACAGGGCGAGAGAGCCACAAGAGGAAGAGUUUGGACCCUUAAAACUUCCUUUGCCUGGAGACAUGGGUGUGGGGAAAAGGGAGGAGGGAGGACAUUUCUAUCUCGUGACAAAAGAAAGUCACACAAUUAUUUUGUUCUCUGCUCUAGGGCGGGUGGGCGCCCGUAUUUACCAGAGGGACCGGAGUCGCUGUAGCAACCACACAUCUGGGCCCCGGAAUCCAGAUGUGCUGCAUCCAGAAGCCAUAGCAGAACGAUGAGGCAACAGUGUGAGGCUCUCCAGUCCUGGCCCCACAGCUGGGAGAGGACGGAGGACUGGAGUGGGGAGGCCCUUGCCAAGACAGUGAGUCCUGGCUCACACCACAGUGCCAGCUGUCCCCUGCCAACCAGCCAGAGGAGUUGCAUGCCUCAUCCGAGCCCCCUUCUGAGAAGCACUUUCCUGAGCUGGCGUCAGGAAAGAGAAAAGGCGAUGGGACAAUUGAAACAGUGAUGGACCCAGAUGGGAUAAAAGUGGAAUCGAGGCGAAAUGGACCAGGUGAAUGGUGAAAGGAGCAGGUGAGAAGAGAAAGGUGUGUCCACUGUGGACCAGGCAUCCUGCACAUCAUCUUUCCUCCCCACAUCAACCCGAGGAGCAGGCAGGAAGACCCCAUUUUACAGGAACUCAGGCUGCGAACGGUCUGGUUGGCGAUACAGCUGCAGCUGGCCCAUGGAAUCCCUGACAGCUGAGACUUCUGGAAGGAGAAGUAUCUAAGGAUUUGAAGAGGAUGAAGGGAAAAGGGAAGAGACAGACGGCCCCUACAAACUGACACCACCUCACACCACCCCAAACCACUUACAAUCCCUAGGAUGUUUAGCCCUUGUUUUCAAGUGGCCUUCCCUGAACCGGCCCCACCCGC